CAGCAUCCCCCUCUGCUGUCUCAGAGUCUGGGAUGCAGCUUCUGUAAAGUGAAGAAGGCCUGUGUGAACCAAUUAUUCAAUGGGAACUCUACCUUUCUACAAAUCAAGAACACAAAGAUCCUCAAACUGGUUGCCCUGACCUGACGAACUAUCGCUGUACAAAAAAAAGAAGGUCACUGUAACAGAGUCGGUAGAGUGCAGGUCAACAGAUGAACGGGUUAUCCAAGUUAGUGGGAUGUGUUUUGAGCAGCUGCUUUACUGUAGUCUGCUUCAUGUUCAGCUUCCCCUUGUUGUGUGGGCGGAUGAACAGAAAGAACAAAAGGUAGUUCUGGUGUAGAAGUGC